UACGAAGGGGGCUAGCGUUGCUCGGAAUCACUGGGCGUAAAGCGCACGUAGGCGGACUCUUAAGUCGGUGGUGAAAUCCUGGAGCUCAACUCCAGAACUGCCUUCGAUACUGAGAGUCUCGAGUCCGGGAGAGGUGAGUGGAACUGCGAGUGUAGAGGUGAAAUGCGCAGAUAUCAGGAGGAACACCAAUGGCGAAGGCAGCACUCUGGGACGUGACUGACGCUGAGACGCGAAAGCGUGGGGAGCAAACAGG
rnacentral:rRNA from 1 species